ensembl:lncRNA
GUUCGGUUAAAUAAAACACUGCUUGGAAGCUCUGUGUGCUUGGACGUGGCCUUGUCAACUGUAAAGUGCGCUGGAGAAUAACUGGGUGGAGAGCUGGCUUUUUCACUGGGAGACUCCUAAAUGCCAGGACCUACCGAUUUUUCUCUAGGCACACCAGAAUGAAUAAAAGCCAUGAAACUUCAGAAGACAAAUCUGGCUGAUCAUCAGAAUCACCUGAGCAGCAUAUUAAAAUACAACAUGAUGGUUUUACCCCAGAUGUUCUGGAUGGUGUUCAGGGAUAUGCAUUUAAAGAAAGCUUCUGGUUCAUCAGUCUCUAGGGAGUCCAUGCUAAAUGGUGCCAGAAGAUGAUCCCAAGAGAAGGUGGCAAAGGAGUUAGUACGAACACCUGUAACCUCACAGUACCAUUUCCAUUUGUCUUCUCCAACAUCUGUGAUUAACAUCAGAUGACACAUCAUCCUGCCUUCUACUCCAGAAUCCUGGUGGGUUUGAUGAGAAGAAUGCAUGGCCAACGGUUGAGAGUAUUUGGCAAGGCAGGAUUCCUGUCUUACUUCAUAUUUCAUACUAAAUACAAAAAGACACCAUAACUCACCAGUACCAGAAAUUCAGUCUACUUGGUUUAUAUGGACAUCUGUUCUCAGAUUACUGGUGGUUUAUCUAACUGCUAUAAUAAAGGUUAAUUCUACAUUAAGGUGGUACUGAGUAUAAUUAGAAUUUUUAUAAUAGCCAUACUUUUUGAACUAGUAGCACCACUUCUAGCAAUUUACCUAUAUACCUCAAAUACAAAAAACCUUUAUACUCAAAGAUGUUCAUUCCUGCGUUUCAUACAUAUGGGUAAAAACUUGGAAGUCUCCAGAAGGGACGGAGGGCAGUGAGAUUUUGGCACAUUGUUCCAGACACAUGUAGUAAUGUCUCUGACUUUUUGGCUUGAACUCCUUACACAUAUACUUUGCUUUUCCUCUUUCGAUAGAGAAUGCUUAGAUAAAUAACGGCAUAUCCACGUGACAGAAUCAUGCCAGUAUAAAAAUUGUUUUGAACAGGCAGUUCAAAAAAGAAUAAAAAUGUACCAUAAACACAAAUAUUUAACCUCAUAAGUAAUAAAGGGAUAAUAAAAUUCCAUUUUCUACAAAUUUUAACCAAUAUUUUUAAAAAUUGAUAAUGCCUCGUGUUGGUGAAAUUGUGGAGAAAUGGGCACCACUUUGCUGUUGGCAGUAUAUGCUGGUACAUAAAUUCUGGAUAGAAAUUUGGUGAUACGUAGCCAAAGUCUUAAAAAUUCACGUAGAUUUUGUUGUUGGUCAUCAAUUUCAUGUAAAGAAUAUAUACUUUUAAAAACGUAAAGAAUGCUACACUUGUUCAAUUUAUGAAAAUUUGGGAAUUUAAGUGUCCCAAAAUAGGAAUUAUUUAAAUAAAUUUUGGUGCUAUACUAAUGGAAUACAGUUAGGAAAGAUAUUCGUAAUACAUAGGUAAUCAUUUAAAAAUUGCAAAAUGGAAGAUAAAACAAUUUUGUUAAAUUAAACAUAAGAACACAUAAGAUGUCAAGAGAAAGGUGCAGUAAGAAUUGAUGAUAAUUAUCUCUGGAUGUGGGGACUUCUGGUGGUUUUCCUUUUCUUUUCUACAUAGUAUUUCCUAUAAGUUUUGCAAUAAAUUUGAAUUUUUUAUGUAAAAAUAGAGAAUUAUGGUCAUAAUUUUUAAGCAAUAUGAGAUAAUGGCAAUUAUGACAAAAAAUGAAGUUUGCCUUAUAAUUACAACUAUGUAGAAACGUGUAAAUUAAAAGGAAGGAAG